UUACAAAGCGCGAUGGGAUUACAAAGCGCGAUGGGAUUACAAAGUGCGAUGGGAUUACAAAGUGCGAUGGGAUUACAAAGCGCGAUGGGAUUACAAAGCGCGAUGGGAUUACAAAGUGCGAUGGGAUUACAAAGUGCGAUGGGAUUACAAAGCGCGAUGGGAUUACAAAGCGCGAUGGGAUUACAAAGUGCGCCAGGAUUACAAAGUGCGAUGGACUUACAAAGUGCGACGGGAUUACAAAGUGCGAUGGGAUUACAAAGUGCGAUGGGAUUACAAAGUGCGAUGGGAUUACAAAGUGCGAUGGGAUUACAAAGUGCGAUGGGAUUACAAAAUGAUACUCUACAUGCCUGACCAUAGGUUCUAGAUUACAGAAAAAAAUAGAAUUUUAAUGUUUUGAGUUGUCAAUUUCAUUGAACUAACAGUGAAUUCACACCUUUAAAAAGUUGUAUUUUUAUUGACGUCAGCUUGAAGUAUUUUUUAACAGACGGAAACAAAUACGAUUUUAAAUUAAAAAUUAGUUUAUUUAAGAAUUUUUGCUUGCCGUGAACUAUUAAAACGCUAUACUUUUAAACAUUGUUUUUAUAAGGUGAAAACUAUGAAAUGUAUAAAUUGUCCUUCCACUCUUUUUUAUUUGCUUUAUAACCAAAAAGCUUUAUAACCAAAAAGUGACUUUUGUCCUUUUUUUAAACCGCUACAGUAUUGCGCUUAGUUACUUAGUUUCCAAUUAUAAGAAGUAAAAAUGGCGGUCGUUACGAUUAUACUUUUGUUGGUCAGUAAAGAUGUUUUGGUUAGUCCAGUUUCUAGUUUUAAAUCUAUUUUUUUUGACAGGUACUCAAGCAGAAGAUAUAAGAUACUAUUAACAGUUGCGCAACAUAUUUGUUUGAUUGUGUUGGUUUCCUCUUGAAACUCAAUUUAAUACUUGGAUUAAGUCGAGUAAAUAAAUAAAUAAAGUUGAAUACGAGACAACGCAAUUGAUGAUGUUACAUGUUUCCGUUUCAUCAUCUGAAAGUCAUUGUUUUUACGUACGCGUCAUUCCACUUGUCCAACAUUUUGGACAGCUAAAAUAAUAUUUGAAUAUAUCACAUUUGUAGAAGUGGAAAUCAGAGAGGCUCUGUUCAUUAGGGAGCAGGCACAUCUUAGGAGAAUGGAGUAGUUUUUUCAGAUUUUGAUUAAAGUAUCUUCACAAGUUUAGGGAACCUUUAAAACUUUCUGAUAUGGAUAGUUAAAGCCUCCUUUGUUCCUAUGGUUAAAAGGACAAGGUUUUUUUUAUCAUAAGCUAUAAAGAUUUGACUGUACCAGUCUGGCGUGGUGAAACUCUUACACAGUUAAAGCCUCGUUUCCGUGAUUUUUGGGCAUUGAAAAGAGAACAUCAUAACAAGAAGAUUUGCUGUAAUAGGAAGAUGCUUUAUCCAAAAUGCAAUUCUGUGGUUUAAAAUUAACUCUUAUUUAAAAUACUUCGGCAUUAAAUAUGGCUUCCUUUAGUCGCACUUAUUACCCAGAUCCCCGAUUUACCCAGAUUUUAUUGCGGAAGUAGAUAUUUGGGUAAAACAGGAAAGAAAUGUUGAAUGAUGAUGUGUUUUUUUGGAAGAAAUUUAUUUACAUUUUUUACAAAACCAUUUCCUUCGUGACAAAGCUUGGACAUUCGCAAUGUUUGCACAUUUAUCGUGAAACCACUCCAUGCACUUUGAACAUUCCACCAUUAAAUUGAACUAUCUGAUACAAAAACGUAGCCAUAGACACAAAUCAUUGUGCUUACAUGCCAGACUACAUGAUUUCUGUGAUCAUCUUUUUCAGGAAAUCUAACAUACAAACAUCUUCUCAUUUUCACAGCUGCUUUGUUAAUAUCCCAUUGCGUUUUCAACUUUUGAGUGACAGUUCGUUUUUUUAUUUUCUGUGUUUCCACUAGCCUGUAAUAAAAAUUAGAUAGAUGAGCAGAAAAUGGUCAGACUAAAACGGCAAAACGAGUAAUGGAAAAAUAAAUGCGCUUACUUUGAAGUCUGGGAAAAAGGCGAUGUCACGAAUUAUGAUUUUUGCUGGACAACCAAAUUUUUUUGAAUUUUGAACCAUAAGCCGAGCCUUACUGUAUACCUUGCGAUGUGUUUGAGAAUCCUAUAGAUAAGAAAAGGUUAUUAUUUUUCCUUUCUUUUUCCUAUUCAGAUUUUAAAGCAAAGGUAAAACAUUUUUUUUUUGAUAUGCCAGGAUCUACGCCGUGCGUGCAAUCUAGCGACUUUUUUCCAACAAGGUGACUCCUUGUUCCUGAUAUCUUCGAAGAGAAUCUUGUGAUUUUUAAAUUAAUAUCUAAAAAAUUAAGUUGGUAACACACACAAAGAUUUUCUUUUUUAAAGAAGACUACUGCUUUUUGUUUCUCUUGGUCAAAAGAUCAAUUUUUUUUGUUAUAACUUAAAACUCACCAGCAACUCCGAAUGAUAUAUUUUUUUGAUAAACAGAGAAAUGGGAUAAUGAUUUUAUCUCGAGAAUUCUAACUGCUACAUCGACAUCUUCCAUGGAUUCGAAUAUAUAUUUCUGUUUUUCUUUACAAUCUACAAAGUAUCCGGUGGAAAAAAUUUUCGAUUUUAAUAUAUUUCUACCUUUUAUUUUUCUAAAGGACACCAACGCUGUGUAACUAACCUUGAGAACUGUCGCUGCUAAACACGAGAGAAGAAACGUACCUGUGCAUCGAAAUAUUUGUUUACAUCACGAGUGUUUUUGAUAUUGACAUGCUUAACCCUACUUCAGAAAGGGAUACAAAAGCAUCUAUCUCUUUAAUAAUAGCUGUAUUCCGUCUGUCUGUUUGUGUGUAAAAAAUCAUUGUGCUACAGAAACACGAAGUAUGCAGUAUGUAAAGGACGGGCGGCUCCGUGUUCUUUCUUUUCGUUUGCACGCGAACAAACAUUGUGCUACGAAAACACGAAAUAUGCGAUAUAUAAAGGACGGGCGACCCCGACCCCGUGUAUUUUUUCACGGGUCGAAAACUAGUUUUAUAAGUCACUGUCAGUCACUGUGAAAAGAUUCUAACACGGUUUCCUCUUAAAAAAUUUUAACUCGACUUUUUGUUGGAUUGGAUACUUGUGUAUAAGUUUAAAUGAAAAAUGAAAUUUGAAGCUGCCACUUAACCUUUUCAAAAUUCGAAAAUCGUGAUGUCGUGACGAUCUUAAAAUUUUUAAAACGAUAUCUUUAUAAUUUUCAGCAUUUCACAAUAUUGUUCUCACGAUCGACUAGAGCCUACAUACGUUAAGGAAAAGUUUGUAACAAGUAGAAAAAAUAACCUAGGAACCUGGUUAAACAAGACACAUAAAGGCAACCACGACACUGACCUGUAUUUUCAUAAAAAUACAUAUUAUUUAUAUACAAUUUGUUUGUUGUUGCUAUUGUUGCUACUAGUCUGCGUGUGCGCAACAGUAGGAAAUGAUUCAUAAUCCACUUUGCUGUGCCAAACCCAUCAUCUACUGUAACGUGAUAGAAGAAAAUAUAACCAAGAAAACUGAUACAAUAACAUUCUAUUUGUAGCAUACAUAAACACAUUCUGCAAUCAGUGAUUUAUCUUGUCAAAACAAAAAUUGUAAGAUGACGUUUGUUCCGCUUUUAGUCGUAUUAUGUUCAUCAUCAUGUUCAAGCAUUAGUAUCCCAAAAUCUUCGAAAUAUGUUUUUAUGAAAAACAGCUCAACUUCGUGGUUGUCUUCACGUGACCUUGUGGUUAUGGAGUUCGCUUCGUAAUUACAAAGUCCGUGGUUUGGUCCACAGCGUGGAGAUGUUUAGCAAGUGUUUUUAGCACAGCUACAGGUCAACCCAUGCUAUGUGAAGGAAAUUGGGUAGGUAAUGCAGGUGUGUACUUAAUGUAUGCAUUCCGAAAACAGGACCAACAUUGAUAACAGUGUUUCUAGCACUGAAGUGGCUCUAUCCUGUAUAAAUAUUCGUAAUAAUAAUGAUAAUAAUCAUGUUCAUCAUUACGUUUAUCAGAUUAUCUUUAUAGCUACCUUCUGCUUGUUUAAAAUAGGUGCACUCACAUUACUGCUAGCUACUGUAAUGAUCAGUCACAAGCAAACAAUUCUUUACAAACGGCUUACAAAUUCACACUACCACAUGACGAAAGAUAACUUUAAUUGGGGAGCAAGAGACAAAAUGUUCUACCGUUAGGUGUUCGGUCUGUAAUACGGGUUUCUCGUAUUCUCUGACUCGUUUUCAAGUCACCUUAGAACCGAGGCUUGGAAUGGUAGAAUAUGGUCAAAAUGCCUACGGAAAGUGGAAGAAGCAGUGCUGUGAGUAAACAAGAGUUGUUGGAACUGUUAUUAAGAGAUACUGAUUUACCAAUUGCAAUUAUUAACAAGUCAAAAAAACAAGUUGGUAAAUUAGAUACUUGGGGAAAGUCUUUGUCUCUUCUUCCUGCGAUCACAAUAAAAGAAAUUGAAGAAUAUCGUUUAAGGAGUGGAAAAACGCCAGAAAGUUCUAUAAUAAAAACUCUUGAUCGUGGGAAAAAGUUUAAAAAUAAAAGAUAUUUAACUUCAGAUUCAGUGAGUACAAAAUGGGAUGAACAAUGCUUUUAUUUAAAAUGCCAGUGUAAGGCAAAUAUGAAGAAAGAAAAACGAGAUGUGUCUUUUAGCACUGUGUAGAGAUAAAGAUACACCGCAAGAUAGCUUGAAUUUAAUGCAAGCUAAGUUGCAGGAGAGGGACAAAAAAAAAUGGAUUUGCUUGUUGUGUACCGCCUGUUGGAUUGAACCAAGAACAAUAUAUACAAAAUUUGGUCAAUUUGUUGUUAGUUCACCUCUUUCUUUUCACCUGAAUCCAGUUAAUUUUACAACGAAAGUUGAAGCAAACAUAAAUAAAAUAAAAAAUCCGUUAUAUAGCGAGCAUGAUUACACUGAACUACCCUUAUUGUUUAUAAAAAAUGAAAAUGAGCUAGCAUCAAAAGAUUGGGUCAAUACUCCUACAGAACAGAACUAUUUAAAUUCCAUUAAAAUAUCAGGAGAAAAGUGCAGAUUGUUAGAAGCAUACAGUUUCACAAAGUAAAGAUGAGCUGUGGAAUACUUAAAUCUUUCAAAUUUUAAAUACAAUAUUAAUAUUUUCUUAUUGUUAAAUUGCUGUAUAGUUUAACAGAAGGGAAUGCUGUUUUCAAAACGCGCUAAUUUUCUCAGCAAUCAAAAUAUUUUAAACGCUAAUAUGGUUGUUUGUAAAUUUCAAACCAAAUAUUUGUUCACGUUCUUUGGCCACAUGUAAAGUAUAAUAAACAUAUUAUAAGAUUUUGAGCAACGUAUACCAAGCAUACACAGGAGCAUCACAAAAGAUGCAAGCUUAUACUGUUUUGUGAAUCCAGCAUCUGAAAUAUAGAAGU